CCCCACUCCUGGCUAGUUGUCUGGUUGCCUAGGAACCUUCUAAUACAUGAAAGCAGCACUUUGCUGGCUGUCCUGCAUGGCUGGGGUUGGAAACUGGCCAGCGCUAUUCCAUGUUCAGCUUCUGUGUCCAUCUCACUCAGACCUUCAUUGCCUGGAGUUCCUGCUGUGGCUCAGUGGGUUAAGGACCCAACAUGGUCUGCAUGAGGAUGCAGGUUCGAACUCUGGCCUUGCUCAGUGGGUUAAGGCAUUGCUGAAAGUUGAGGCAUGGCUCUCAGAUGCUGCUCUGAUCUGGCAUUGCUGUGGCUGUGACAUAGGUCUUGGCUGCAGUGCCAAUUGGACCCCAAGCCCAGGAACUUUGUUCUAUGUGUGCGGGUGUGGCCAUAAAAAUUAAAAAAAAAAUGGACUUGAUUCAAUGUGUGUUUAUUGAUAUUAAAAGCCUGAUGCUUUGAGUUGAAAUUAGAAAAAGAAGAGUGGGGGGCUGUCUGAAUUCUGGUCUGCUGCAAGCUUCUGCUCUGCUGAUACUCAACUCAGACAACUUGACCAGCAUCCGAGGUCCUUUCUGAGCCCUGGACGCCCUCAGGUUCUGCUCUGACUCCCUGGUUCCUUACCAAGUAGCCAUGUACUCCUGGUGGGAACACAUCAAACUUCUCUCUCUCUCUCUUUUUUGCUGGGGGCGGGGGGGGGGUGCUGUAAAAUGUGCACUCUGAUGGCACCUAUUUCACUAGGCUGUUAUGCAAAUAAGAUGGGUUAAUUUACGCAAAGUGAUUUUAGUUUUUCAGUCAACAAACAUGUAAGGAUUAAUGGAUUACACGUUGGAGGCAGGAUGCAGUCCUAGGCACUCGGUAGACAGCGAAGCCAAGACGUCUCCCUUGCUCCUUCCCCAGACGUGCAGAUUCUCCGGAGAAGGGGAUGGGGCACGAAGGAAGACAAGCCGUGGAUAUAAGUGUAACGAUAAAGUGAAUUUUCUGGAAAGUCAUGAAAAGGGGAGUCCGCUUAGACCUCAUCAGGAAGCUGGCAUGGGAGCACAGAUGAGAGAGAGGCGGGAGUGUGGGCGGUCCUCCUGGAAAUCUGGCGGGUGCCCUCAGCGUCCACUCGGGUCUUAGGUUGGGAGCAGCAGAAAGGCCUGCGUGGCUGGAGAAGGGGGUGCUGGUGACAUAGGCCUGAGAGGUACCGGGGCGGGAGGCGGGUGAGCUCCCUGGGGGUCACGCUUUGGUGGCUGCCUGGGUGCCACGGUGGGGCUUUGAGCCCAGAAGAAAAGUGACACAGGUUUGGGCGGCCGGACCCCGGGAUGCCGUGAGAACAGGUGUUCCAGAGGUCAGGGCCCAAAUGGGCUGCCCUCUCUCUCUCUCUCUCCCUCUCCGUCCCCCCCCCCCCCCCCCCGCCCCCGCCGCCUCUCCUUCUUCCUUUCUUGAAAUGAUUUCCACCUGGAAAGAUGCUGGUGCGGAGGACCGGGUGCGCCCUGCCCGGACCUCUGAUCUUCCGAGGGCUGUGGCAGAAGGGCUGUGUUGUUUCAGGGCGAAGUUUGUAAUAAUUCACUGCGCCGCAAAGAAAACCAAUCCGAUAGCCCGCAUUGGGUGGGAAGGGCCCGCCCGCCCACCUUCCUCCAGCUUCUGCGCACGCCCUGAGCUGGGGCCGUGAUGCUCACCCCACCGCUCGGUCCCCUGCGAGUCACAGACCACCCAGCUCCCUCUGCAGCAUUUCUUGGUUUUCUUUCUUCUCCAUCCCUCUCGCUGCCAUCUUAGCUCUUAGGCCUCCCACGCCCCCACCCCCUCCCCCCGUUUAUGGUCCUUCUAGAGGUUUCUAACCAACUCUCCCAUUCUUGGGUUUUCCUUUUGUCCUAGGUCUGCGCACAGCCUGAUGAAUCUUUCCAAAGCUGACUUAAAUAAGGAAAUUCCCUUUUAAAAGACAAUAGCUUAGGAGGUGCUGUUGUGGCUCUCGGCAGGUUAAGAACUCGACUAGUAUCGGUGAGGAUGAGAGUUCGAUCCCUGGCCUCACUCAGUGGGUUGCCCUGAGCUGUGGUGUAGGUUACAGAUGUGGCUUGGAUCCCACGUUGCUGUAGGCCGGCAGCUGUAUCUCUGAUGAGACCCCUAGCCUGGGAACCUCCACAUGAGGCAGGUGCGGGCCUAAAAAUGAAACCAAAACCUCCCCCAAACAAUCGCUUGUUUACUUCUCCACUAUCGUGUCAUGUAAACAGUCUUCCUGAGCCCACCAAGGACCCGUGAUGGGGCUGGAAUUGGUGCUUAGAGGAAGGCGGUGGAUGCCCUCAGUCUAGAGCGUUAGGAGAGGGAGUGCAUGGGUCACAGUUUAUUGCACUGUACUCUGAAGAUAUAUGUACUGCUUGAUUCUGUCUCAAUAAGAAAGAUCCUAAAAGCCAUAAAAAGUAAAUUAUAAAAACCAAUCAAACAAAAGGAAAUAUAUGCAGCGGUGAAGGGUGUAGAUUCUGUCUCCAGGGAAGGCCUUCUGAAUUUCUGAAUUUCCUUCGACGUGCGGUGUCUCCUGACACUUGCAUCCUGCUUUUCUUCCAGGGUCUUUUCCUGCUGGUUCAGUGCCUUUCAUGCCCAUGCCUCCUGCUCUCCUCACAUGGCUUCUCUCUCCCCAUGUGGCAGCCUCAGGUUUUCCUUGGACACAAGCUGUAUUUUUCUUCAGUGAAUUCUUUGUUUUUUGACCACGCAUGUAGCAUGUGGAAGUUCCUGGGCCAGGGCUCAAACCCCACUGAACCUCCAGGGACUUCCUAGUUCUUACAGUUCUGAGUACCCGCUGCAAGUCAGUGAUGGCUUUAUCAUUGACCCCCCACCCCCGCAACCGGAGCUCCCACAGUAGCGCAACGGGAUCAGAGGUUUCUCUGCAGUGUCAGGACUCAGGUUUGAUCCCUGGCCCAGCAGAGUGGGUUAAAGGGUCUGGCCUUGCAACUCAGCAAGGAUCUGACCCCCGGCCCUGGAACGUCAUGUGCCAAAACAAAACCAAAAAACAAACAAACCAAAAAACCCACCACCUCGAAAACCCCUUCUUUUUUCUUAACUUUCUGGGCGCCUCCAGGAGAACAUUUUCUAUAUCAUUGCAUCUUUCCCGUUUCUCUCAGGGCAGGUGCUCCGUAAAUGCUGGGGACUUGAUUUAAUUUUCUUUUUUUGUAGUAAAAAUAUAUUAUUUUAUCACACUGUGUGAGCUCAAGAUAAUUGUAAUGGAAGAAUUUUUCUCAUUUCCAGUGAGGUGAAAAUACCUUUUACAUUGGUGAGGCAAUCUCUGUCCUAAACAGCUCUUCAGUGUCCUCUGAAGGGCAGGGAGGCACACACUCCUACCUGGCGGAGUCGUCAGGAAAAGUGCGCGUUCUUCCCUUAAAUUUCACGCCGUUCAACAGCAUAACGAGAAAGGUGUUUUUCUUUCCACUAAGACCCUCUGAAGUGUGCCUGGGUUUCCUUAGACAAGUGUUUCCGAUUUCACGAUGCCAGGCGCUGCUUCAAAUCUUUGUUUACUUGUUUCCUAAUGAACGUCUACUGGAAGAAUUAGAAAUGAAAAAUGUGCAGGCCUGAAGGAUGCCUCAGAGGAGAGCAUCCAUUUCACGGAGGGGUUGGAAACUUGCACCUAUGAAGAGAGUGUAUAGAAUUAUACGUUUCCCCGGGAAUUCGAGAAUGAUUGGACACUAUGGAUUUCCUUACUUGUUCACACUCACAAAUGUUAAGACACUCCCACCAUAAUAACUACUGAAAGAUGAGACAUGUUAGCGUAUUGAUAGAGAUGGAAAAAUCACUCGAUCAAGUUCUACGUGCUCAUUUUUAAAGAUAAAACUGCCUUUAGCAAAAGCUCGUAGUAGAAAGAAACGUAUUCUAACAGGUAGUGCACAUUCAUACUUUAAAAGAUCCCUCCUUUCAAAAUGACCUAACGAUUUCCAUCAUAGCUCCUUUUACUAAAGUUUAAAGAAAAGGAAAAAAGUGUAAAAACUGGACAUGGAGAGACUGAGAUGUUGGAUACGCAGGCGCUAAGAUAAUCUAUAGACAAAUCCAAAUAUUCCACCAGCUUGCAACAAUAAAGCCAUCUAGCAAUUUGCCGAGAAUGAGAUCAACAUACAAAAAUCAAUCCUGCUUUUAUACACUAGUGAUAACCAGUAUAACAAAGAGCCCAUUCACCAUGGCAACAGUACUUUUAGGGAUCCCCGGAUAAACCUAUGAAAUACGGGCAAAAUCUUUAUGGAGAAAAUUACAGGAGUUCCCGCUAUGGCUCUUCGGAAAUGAGCCUGAUUGGCAUCCAUGAGAUUACAGGUUCGAUCCUGGCCUUGCUCAGUGGGUUAAAGAUCCUGCGUGGCCAUGAGCUGCGGUGUAGGUCCAAGACAUGGCUCGGAUCCCACGUUGCUGUGACUGUGGCAGUGGCUGGCAGCUACCGCUCUGAUUUGACCCCUAGCCUGGGAAC
rnacentral:lncRNA from 1 species